AUCCAGCUGACGAGUCCCAAACAGGACAGUCGAAAUGCGCAUUAUCCUGGAU
rnacentral:hammerhead_ribozyme from 1 species